UUAUGCCCGUUUCAAAAUGCGGUCAAAACGGCGGGCUUGACCGCUCCUAGCUAGUGGUUGAAUCUUGGAAUUUUUUUGGUGUUUCUAUGAUUAAAUAGAUACUUAUGUACCUAGAAAUGAUUUUUGGAAAAAAUAAAGAGCAAACUAUGAGGCAGCUACAGUUCAAAUUUGACCCGUUUCCAACUGAAUUGACGGCAAUUUGUCUUUUUCACCAGAGGUAGAUCAAAACUUUUUUCACCCAACCAUUUUGUCAAUUAUGCAUUAUAUAUGGCCUAGUAUUUUAUAAAAAUGAUUUGGUCCAAUUUUGCAACAAUUAUUUGGUAGUUCCUUCAGAAAAAACCCUCCUUUUGGGCACUCGGAAAAUGAAAAAUGAAUUUUCCGUGCAAAGAAAAUGAAAACUUCCUUAGGCAACAUUGAUUGGAAUUCCAAGAUGCACCCUCGUGCACAAUAUGAGAUCAUUUGAACAAACUAUGCCAUGAAUGUGGCCAUAAGAUUGAUCAUUUGGCUUGAAAGCCAUGAAUCUUCACGCAUGAUAGCUCAUUUCUGAGAACACUUUUUUAAAAUAAUUGCCGUAUUACAAGUUUGUUAUUUUUCCUGGGAACUUGGACACAUAUAAUGACACAAUGCGAAGGUUUCCCAAUUUUUUGAUUUUUUUUGAGUUUUUUAUGCCCGUUUCAAAAUGCGGUCAAAACGGCGGGAAUCACCGUUCCUAGCUAGUGGUUGAAUCUUGGAAUUUUUUUGUGUUUCUAUGAUUAAAUAGAUACUUAUGUACCUAGAAAUGAUUUUUGGAAAAAAUAAAGAGCAAACUAUGAGGCAGCUGCAGUUCAAAUUUGACCCGCUUCCAUCUUAAUCGGCGGGAAUUUGUCUUUUUCACCAGAGGUGGAUCAAAAAAUUUGUCACCCAACCAUUUUGUCAAUUGUGCAUUAAAUAUGGCCUAGUAUUUUAGAAAAUUGAUUUGGUCCAAUUUUGCAACAAAUAUAUGGUAGGUCCUUAAAAAACUCAUUUCAGGCACUCGGAAAAUGGAAAAUGGUUUUUUCGUCCAAAGAAAAUGAAAACUUCCUUAGGAAACAUUGUUUGCCAUUCCAAUAUGCACCCUUGUGCACAAUAUGAGAUCAUUUGAACAAACUAUGCCAUGAAUGUGGCCAUAAGAUUGAUCGUUUGACUUGAAAGCCGUGAAUCUUCACACUUGAUAGCUCAUUUCUGAGAACACUUUUUUAAAAUAAUUGCCGUAUUACAAGUUUGUUAUUUUUCCUAGGAACUUGGCCACAUAUAAUGACACAAUGCGAAGGUUUUCCAAUUUUUUGAUUUUUUUGAAUUUCUUAUGCUCGUUUCAAAAUGCGGUCAAAACGGCGGGCUUGACCGCUCCUAGCUAGUGGUUGAAUCUUGGAAUUUUUUUUGGUGUUUAUAUUAUUAAAUAGAUACUUAUGUACCUAGAAAUGAUUUUUGGAAAAAAUAAAGAGCAAACUAUGAGGCAGCUACAGUUCAAAUUUGACCCGUUUCCAGCUGAAUCAACGGCAAUUUGUCUUUUUCACCAGAGGUAGAUCAAAACUUUUUUCACCCAACCAUUUUGUC
rnacentral:lncRNA from 1 species